rnacentral:rRNA from 1 species
UACGUAGGGUGCAAGCGUUGUCCGGAAUUAUUGGGCGUAAAGAGCUCGUAGGCGGUCUGUCGCGUCUGCUGUGAAACUCAGGGCUUAACCCUGAGCUUGCAGUGGGUACGGGCAGACUAGAGUGCGGUAGGGGAGAUUGGAAUUCCUGGUGUAGCGGUGGAAUGCGCAGAUAUCAGGAGGAACACCGAUGGCGAAGGCAGAUCUCUGGCCGUAACUGACGCUGGAGGAGCGAAAGCGUGGGAGCGAACAGG